CGGUGUUGCUGCCUGGGAUCCUGAGACGGUCCUGCUGCUGCCGGAGCCCUGCCAGCUGUCCGACGAUGUCCCACCUAGUCGAGCCGCCGCCACCCCUGCACAACAACAACAACAACUGCGAGGAAAGUGGCCAGUCUCUGCUGCAGCCGGCCGGCCUCAACAGUUCCUGGGUGGAGCUCCCCAUGAGCAGCAGCAAUGGCAAUGAUAAUGGCAAUGGGAAAAAUGGGGGGCUGGAACACGUACCGUCCUCAUCCUCCAUCCACAAUGGAGACAUGGAGAAGAUUCUACUGGAUGCACAACAUGAAUCAGGACAGAGUAGUUCAAGAGGCAGUUCUCACUGUGACAGCCCUUCGCCACAAGAAGAUGGGCAGAUCAUGUUUGAUGUGGAAAUGCACACCAGCAGGGACCAUAGCUCUCAGUCAGAAGAAGAAGUUGUAGAAGGAGAGAAGGAAGUUGAGGCUUUGAAGAAAAGUGCGGACUGGGUGUCAGACUGGUCCAGUAGACCCGAAAACAUUCCACCCAAGGAGUUCCACUUCAGACACCCUAAACGUUCUGUGUCUUUAAGCAUGAGGAAAAGUGGAGCCAUGAAGAAAGGGGGUAUUUUCUCUGCAGAAUUUCUGAAGGUCUUCAUUCCAUCUCUCUUCCUUUCUCAUGUUUUGGCUUUGGGGCUAGGCAUCUAUAUUGGAAAGCGACUGAGCACACCCUCUGCCAGCACCUACUGAGGGAAAGGAAAAGCCCCUGGAAAUGCGUGUGACCUGUGAAGUGGUGUAUUGUCACAGUAGCUUAUUUGAACUUGAGACCAUUGUAAGCAUGACCCAACCUACCACCCUGUUUUUACAUA